UCUGUGUGUGUGUGUGUGUGUGUGUGUGUGUGUCACAAACCCUUCUCCGUAUAUCACAAAGAAGAUGAAAACAAAGAUGAGAACCAAGAUCGCAGAUCACAAAGAUCACAGAUCAGGAGCUUAUUCGAGCCCUCUUUGCAGAUCGCAGAAUUCGAAACAGAGCUGUCGCCAGAAAUCAAAACCCACAUCUCAAAUCCAUCAACCACCAGAAAUUCCUGAUUUGGCAGGCAACAUGCAAAUUCAGGUGACAAGUGGCACAAAAGCAGAUUCUCCUAGCAAGUACUAAAAAAUUCUCGACCUGUCCACUCACCGUACGUGAAGCCUACCACCACUCAAGCAAAAAUUGUGGGCGCUCGAGCGGCCUACCUAGGGACACGUGCCCAAAAUUUUGAGCUCGUUCUGCUGAGAAUAAGAAGAAGAAAAAUAGGUUGCUCUAGGGUUCUGAAAUUUUCCAAAGGAUAGAAGGGGCUAGGGUUUGAACAGAAGGGUUUCAAGCUUCAAGAAUAUCUCUCAUGGUGGUUUCCUCUUCCUCUACCUCUUUCCACUCCUCCAUGAGUGGCUAGUUCUUCUAUUCCUAGGGUUUUGAUGAAACCUUAGCCAAGUAAGUAGGGUUUUCUUUUUGAUUUUUGAUUAUGUAAUGGUUUGAACAAGUUGUAUGUUAUUCAAGAAGUUUUUAAAUAUAAUUUUCAUUAUUUCUUCAA